rnacentral:lncRNA from 1 species
CCACACCCAGUGUCUCCUCUGUUUUUCAUUUUUGUCUCUCUCUUUUGUGGGGGAAGGGAGGUUGAGACAGGGUUUCUCUGUGUAGCCCUGUGAUGGGGGUUGUCCUUCUGUAUGUUUCUCUUAUUGGUUAAUGAAUAAAACACUGUUUGGCCAAUGAGGCAGGAAGAUAGGCGGGACUAGGAGAAGAGGAGAAUUCUGGGAAAGGUAGGCAGAGAGAGUUGCCAUGUAGCAGUCAAAGGAGUUGCAGGAGGUGGAGACCUGGGGCUGGAGAGAUGCCUCAGAGGUUAAGAACAGUGACUGCUCUUCCAGAGGUCCUGAGUUCAAUUCCCAGUAACCACAUGGUGGCUCACAACCAUCUGUAAUAGGAUCUGGUGCCCUCUUCUGGUGUGCAGGUGUGCUGCCUUAGUUUGGUGGAUUCCGUCUGCACGUGAUCUAUCCUGUCCCCGAACCUGCCUGCGCUCCUCAGGACGUCAGUUGUUAGAAUCAUAUAUGUCGUCGUGGAAGGGUUUCUCUGUGGCUUUGGAGGCUGUCCUGGAACAAGCUCUUGUAGACCAGGCUGGACUUGAACUCACAGAGAUCCGCCUGCCUCUGCCUCCCAAGUGCUGGGACUAAAGUCGUGCGCCACCAACGCCCAGCUUAACAAUCUUGUUUCUAAGUCAAAUAAAAAAAUCUGCAAAAGAAGAAGAAGAAGAAGAAGAAGAAGAAGAAGAAGAAGAAGAAGAAGAAGAAGAAGAAGAAGAAGGUGGUAAAAUCCGGAAGAUCAGGGGUUCAAGACCAGCCUGGACUGCAUGAUACUUGUUCCAAAAAGCCAAAUAAAUAAUUUGUUUUGUAAGAGAGAGUGGGAGAGGGCUGGAGAGAUGGCUCAGCGGUUAAGAACACUGACUGUUCUUUCAAAGGUCCUGAGUUCAAUUCCCAGCAAUCACAUGGAGGCUCACAACCAUCCGUUAUGAGAUCUGGUGCCCUCUUCUGGUGUGCAGACAUACAUGGAAGCAGAAUGUUGUGUACAUAAUAAAUAAAUAAAAUCUUUUAAAAAGAA